CAGGUUUCCGUAGGUGAACCUGCGGAAGGAUCAUUAU
rnacentral:rRNA from 1 species